rnacentral:rRNA from 1 species
UAGGGAAUCUUGCGCAAUGGGCGAAAGCCUGACGCAGCCAUGCCGCGUGUAUGAUGAAGGUCUUAGGAUUGUAAAAUACUUUCGCCGGUGAAGAUAAUGACUGUAGCCGGAGAAGAAGCCCCGGCUAACUUCGUG